GACGAACGCUGGCGGCGUGCCUAAUACAUGCAAGUCGAACGCAGUGGGGACGGGUGAGUAACACGUGGGUAACCUCCCAUCAGAGGGGAUAACACUUGGAAACAGGUGCUAAACCGAUACUGAUGGAUGGACCCGCGGUGCAUUAGCUAGUUGGUGGGGUAACGGCUCACCAAGGCCACGAUGCAUAGCCUAACUGAUAGGGUGAUCGGACACCCUAGUACUGACAGACGGACCAGACUCCUAAGGAAGGCAGCAGGAGGGAAUCUUCGGCAAUGGACGAAAUUCUGGCCAGGCAACGCAGCGUGAGUGAAGAAGGUUUUCGUAUCGUAAAACUCUGUUGUUAGAGACGCGGUAUCUAACCAGAAAGCCACGGCUAACUACGUGCCAGCAGCCGCGGUAAUAC
rnacentral:rRNA from 1 species